GGGAUGAGCUCAUCGCUGAAUCUUCAUGCUGUAAUGGCAUGUCGAGGUGUAGCGUAUAGGAUGAAUGGUUGCUUUGGUUGUUUUGACUUAAGUUCUCUUUGACUAGAGUUCCAUAGAAGGUGAUAGGCCUGUUAAGUCGAGUUCGCAAUUGAAGUUUUCGUUUGUCCUGUGAGUCGGGUUGUUUGGAAACACAGCCUAAAUACGGUGGUAAACUUCACCUAAAGCUAAAUAUGACUAUGAAACCGAUAGCAAACAAGUACCGUGAGGGAAAGUUGAAAAGAACUCUGAAGAGAGAGUUAAAUAGUACGUGAAACCGAUUGGGCGGAAGCGUAUAGAGUUGUCGAAAGAUGGUAGUAAUUAGUUGGUGUGCUUUGAACGGGCAUUCGUGCAAUUCAAUUAACGUUGUUUGUAUGGGUGUUGCGGUUUGAGGUAUGCUGAUGCACUUGCUGCCGUUGCGCUGAUGCGCUUGAUUGAUUAACUUGAAAUUUGGUUAGAGGGCCUUUACUUCGGUAUUGGUAUCCUGGCUUGAAUGAAUAGUUCAUAUUGGUCAAGUGUAUGUGUAUGUGAGGUGUAAGAGAUGGUUAUGCUGUAUGAAUGUUUUGUUCAAUUGCGUGCAAUUGAUCUUUGCGUUUGUGCGGUGUGGCUUGAUUGAUCGCUUUGCAUCAUCAGUGUUAAAGACAAUCACCUAUAUGUCCCGUCUUGAAACACGGACCAAGGAGUUUAUCGUAUGUGCGAGUCAUUAAGUGAUCAAAACUUAAAGGCGUAAUGAAAGUAAAGUGGUGCCUUGUGCAUUCACGAGAUGUGAUGAAUAAGGGUUUUCGGACUUCGAGUUCAGCAACAUCGUCCAAUCCGAAAUGCUUGCAUUAGGGUUGAGAUUGAGCAUAUGCGAUGAGACCCGAAAGAUGGUGAACUAUGCCUGAGCAGGAUGAAGCCGGAGGAAACUCUGGUGGAAGUCCGAAGCGGUUCUGACGUGCAAAUCGAUCGUCUGACUUGGGUAUAGGGGCGAAAGACUAAUCGAA
rnacentral:rRNA from 1 species